GCUCGUGAAGCUCAAUUGGUCGAGCAGAAUCUUGAAGCGAUUUUGGUUGUAAGUUCAAGUCUUACCACGGGCA
rfam:Trichoderma gamsii strain T6085 Scaffolds0235.1, whole genome shotgun sequence.